AGGGGAAGGCUCACAUAGAGGCAGCAGUAGAGAAUCUUGUGCAAUGCACGAAAGUAUGACACAGAGAGGACACAUUUAAUUGAGCCCGUCAAAUUAAGUGCCAGCCGACGCGGUUAGACUUAAGGGCUGGUCUUUAUAAGUAAAAAGGCGUACAAGGAUGUGUAGGCCAAGAAAUUGUCCAAGAAGGUAAAUGGAAUUUUUCUGGAGCGGUAGAAUGUGAGGAUAGAAAAUAGAACACCUAAGGUUAAAACUAUUUACCACAAAAUAGGCUGAAACAUGAAAGUGUGGGGAGCAAACAGGAUUAGAGACCCUGGUAGUCCACACUGUGAACUUUGAAGAUGAUGCUUAGCAGACCCGAAAGGUAAAAUCUUCCGCCUGAGUAGUACGAUCGCAAGAUUAAAAUUCAAAAACUUUGGCUGUUCACUAUUUCGAUUAGAGGAGCGUGUAGUUUAAUUCGAUGGUCCGCGUGUUACCUUACCCCAGCUUGAAUCUAUGACCGGUAUUGCAUGGCCGUCGUAAGUCCGUGUGUUAAGCUAGAAGGGACCCAAUCCGGGCGUUUGCCCGAAGGAAGUCAGGUCUUAUGAUCCGAAUGUUGGGGGAUUUUAUGCGCUACAUUUUCUUAUAUAAUGAGAGACUUGAAAGGUAAGCCUCUAAAGUAAGAGUUCGGAAGGUCGCUGUAAUAACGACUGGAAGUUGGAUUYAAUAGGUAAUCGGAAAGUAGGGCGUUCCGSUGAAUUGGUACAAGUGUUAGCACAAAUUGCCCGUCACCUUUACCUAGGAUGGUUAUUCGGACGCCUUCGGUGGUUACGAAUGCCUACGAGGGUA
rnacentral:rRNA from 1 species